GUUAUGAGUAUCACGGUGAUUGUUGUUUCAAGUCAAAUAACAUUGAAGUCGCUAACUGUGGAGAGGAAUAUUUUGUCUACAAAUUGAGUCCUUCUCCUAGUUGUAAUUUGAGAUACUGUGGGGCAGAUAACUGAACCACGCGCUAUGAACAACGAUAGCACUAACAUUAGAUUGCACUCAUUAUAUCAGGUUAUUUGCAAUAAAAUAUAUAAUAUAAGGGUUUAGGGGUAAGCAACGGUUGCACAAGACAGGAUGAAUUUGAAGUCGU